GCUCAGCUGGGGGCUGCGGGGACCAGCAGCAUAUGGCUCUAGGCUGUGAGUUGAGUCUAGCUUAGCUGCUUGCAUUGCCUCAUUCUGGGACUCCUGGUGAUAUGGAGCACAUUCCUCUCCUGACAAAUGGAAGAUGCUCAGGGGACCAAGACACAUCACAGAAGUCCACAUAAAACCUCUGUCACAGCACAUCUGCUAAAUUUCCAUUGGCUCAAGCAAGUCAAUCACGACCAGAGGCGGAGGCCAAGGCACAUGCAGUGCGCGUUACGUCACAGGGCAAAGGGGGUGGAUCACCCCAUGACCACAGAGAGAGAAGAGAGUGACCUCCUAACACUGAAUUCAAGCUAUUUCUAUGGGAAGAGGCAUCUUGUUGGCUGGCCAUCUGUUUUUAAAUUCCCAUCAUCAGUAUGCCCAAGAAAUCCUGGAAGCUCUGGUCUCAGUGAGGAUUUGCCACUGCCAAAUGUUUCAAGAGAUGGGUCUGCAAAAAGUUUCAGCUAAUUUAAGAAACCUCAAGAGGCAAAGAGGCUGAUGGAAGCCAGCAAAGGUAGGUGAGAACCAAAGGCUCUAUGGAUGAUAACUGCAGACUCUCCUUGACAGAUUGGGAGGAUUUCUGCUUUCCUGGAUUCCUUAGAAAAUGAGUCCAUCCACAGCAGGCUCACUUUUAUGGACAGGUUGCCUGCACAGAAACAUGGAAACAGAGACACAGGUGAAAGAUCAAAGACAGGUUGCAUUGACAUGGAUAGGUAUUGCCAACAAAAUACCAAGAGCCUAAAAUGAGAUUAUUUCCUGAGAACAUGUGCAAAAAGUACAGUUAUGAUCUUGGCAGCCUGUGGGCUCUCAGAUGAUAUCACCCACGUGUUUGUCCUUCCUUCUACUGGCAAUGCUACCCGAAUACCUGGGUAAUGGUUGGGUAGCCUUUAGGAUUGUCAUAUCAAGUCACAGUCAAAUGUACAGUAAAGAGCAAUGGUUUGCAUCAUACACCUAAAGAUUAACACUCAAACCAGCCAAACUGGAAAAAAGAGAAAAAUGUGAAAUACACAAAUUUUUGGGGGAAAAAAAGAAUUUUAUUUUCACUUUAUGAAAUAGGCAAGUGUGAAAAGACUGGUGUUUGUGAACAAUGGGUGUGUUUAUGAACACAAAGACAGGGGUAAAUAAUAGCAAGAUUUAAGAUAGUAAAACAUCAAUGGAUUGAAAAUAAGAAAUAUGUAACAUAAAAGUUAAAUAUUUCCUACAAAGGAAAUUAUUAAAAAUUGCUUAUAGAAGCUUAAAUUAUUUUUAAAAUAUUUAUAUUACACAAGCAGUUAUAUUCAUCAUUUACUGUUUCAUUCGUAAUCAUUUCUACUUUUUUGUUUGUCUUUUGUCCUUUUACAGCCACACCUGCAGCAUAUGGAGGUUCCCAGGCUAGGGGUCGAAUCGGAGCUGUUGCUGUCAGCCUACGCCACAGCCACAGCAACACCAGAUGCGAGCUGCAUCUGCAACCUACACCACAGCUCACGGC
rnacentral:lncRNA from 1 species